rnacentral:lncRNA from 10 species
GCUCGGGCUGGGAAAGGCCCGACACUGUUCUUUUGACAGUUACAGGAAUCAUCUCCUGGAUGCACCACACUCAAGUCAAAGCCUAAAAAGCUAAGGGAGCAACCCCUGAAAGCCCAGAGGAAAGUCCUGAAUCUCAAUGUGGAGAAAUAGAAGACCUUAGGCUGAAAAUCAUGAAAGGAUCAAACUCAAAAUGGUGCUGCAAACAGAGCCCCACAUGGACAAGCCAUUCUUCCAAGUACCCUUAAAUCCACCUCAGGAGAAGACCCAACUGCUGUUCCCCGACAUGACGCCCCUUUUCAUCAGGAAGUAGCCAGAAAUAAUUGUCGUCCAACACCCACUAACAACAGUUAGGUUUACUUCUCUUGAGGGGGGAAUAAUACAGGAGUUAUUAAGAAAUAAUUCUAGGCAGAUAUAGAGGGUAAAAGUUCUUGAUAAGACUUUUUCUUUUAAUAAAAACAGCUCCCGAAACAUUUCUUUUCUAACAGAAAGGCGGUUUGGAAAGCCAGGCUGGCAAGUAUUAACAUGCUAAUGCUGGUGAUUAGAAACUAGGUCUAACCAACAUGGCCAGCUUGGUGAUUCUCACCCUUUUCUUGUCAGCACGUGUGCCAGGCAUCAUGGCCACCCCUAGCUAUCUCCACGGGUGCAGGACAUCUGGUGGCCUGCAUUUGCAUAUUAAGAGCCUGGGGUGGGAGGGUCAGGUUUUUCUGGGCUAUGUGAAAUACACACCUGGUCAAACCAAUCCACUGGGCCGUAUGCAAAUCAGACACUGCUUUCUCCAGCUUCCCAAUAUUACCGACCACUUUUUCGCAGCAGCACACAGGGUUUCUCUCUUGGGAACCCCGCUCCCUCUAUCUCUGUAGCGGGGAGCUUUUUUUUCUUCUUUCUUGACUAUUAAA